rnacentral:tRNA from 1 species
GGGAACGUAACUCAAUUGACCAGAGCACAUGAUUACGGUCUUGAGAUUGAAGGUUUGAGCCCUUCCGUUCCCCGCCA